ACAGAGCUGGACAACACGAAACGAGUACAGGAUGAUAGCGCUGAUUACCAAAAAUUGAUAAAGAAAUAACAGAGUCAGAGUGUGGAAAUCAGGUUUAAUUCUUACACUGAUCUAAACUACGACUGGACAGUCAAAUGCUUUACAAAUCGACUCUUCAGGUGUCGAAAUUAGUUUUACUAUCAAGCAAAUGUCUUUUCCUAUUUAACUUAGGAUCACUAAGGAAGUUUACCGUAGAAAAGCGAAAAUACGUAGUUUACUAGUAUAAAUAACUCAAUUGUAUAUAUUUUGUAGACAAAGUAAAUAAAAGGAAUUCUGGC